UGGGGGAUAUUGCACAAUGGGGGAAACCCUGAUGCAGCAACGCCGCGUGAAGGAAGAAGGCUUUCGGGUCGUAAACUUCUAUCGAUGGCUAAUAACAAAAUGAAUAGCCAAGUAAGAAGCCCCGGCUAACUACGUGCCAGCAGCCGCGGUAAUACGUAGGGGGCAAGCGUUAUCCGGAAUUACUGGGUGUAAAGGGUGAGUAGGCGGUAAGACAAGUCAUAUGUGAAAAUCCAACGCUCAACGUUGGACGUGCAUAAGAAACUGUCAUACUGGAGUACAGGAGAGGUAAGCGGAAUUCCUAGUGUAGCGGUGAAAUGCGUAGAUAUUAGGAAGAACACCGGUGGCGAAGGCGGCUUACUGGACUGAAACUGACGCUGAGUCACGAAAGCGUGGGGAGCAAACA
rnacentral:rRNA from 1 species